UUAAAAAUGCAUGCAUCUUAAGUAUAAUAAAAUGUGCUUUCAAUGUAUUUGUUAAAUGCAAAAUAUGAUUAUUACAUAAGCAAUAAAAAAUACCAAAUCAAAGCAAAUAAAAACUCAAAAGAGAUCGAUCAAGAAAUUAAAUGAAAUAAAUUAAUAAACUACAUUUUAAGGUGUGUAUAUCAGGCACCGGUCACUCUGACCUCAGGAUCCUGCAUUACAUCAGCUAUUAACUUGGAUACCUCACAGAAUCUACACACACCCAUUACACAUAUACACUCCUGAGAAUGAUGUCAUGACAGGAAACAGGAAGUAGAUCAAGAGAUCAAGAGUGAUCAAACAUAAGCAUCAUGUGACUUUCCUCUCCUCUCUGACUCCACACACCUGGAUGAAGAGGAGUUACCUGAUUUGGAUCCGCAGGUGGGAGCGAUCUGGCCGCUCGGACAGGUGCACAUGUUGGGUCUGGAGCAGAAGCCGUCUCCGCAGGGGCUCCGACAAAUAGCUGAGAACAGCAAAAACAAUGACUGACGACAUCUACUGAUUGCUUGACAUUCACAGACAUCAAUAAACAUGAAGCUUUUUUGUGUAUUUGAACCCUUUACGACGAUGACUGUAUGAUUCUGAGAUCAUCUUUUCACACUGAGGACAACUGAGGGACUC